UGAGGAAUAUUGGUCAAUGGACGCAAGUCUGAACCAGCCAUGCCGCGUGCAGGAUGAAGCCUCUAUGGUGUGUAAACUGCUUUUGUACGGGAAGAAACACUCCUACGUGUAGGAACUUGACGGUACCGUACGAAUAAGGAUCGGCUAACUCCGUG
rnacentral:rRNA from 1 species